rnacentral:rRNA from 1 species
UUGUGUGUGCCAAAGAAAGAAGGUGGAAUGAUAUUUUGAGAUAUUCAUCAUUUUAACUUAUCCCUGCUUGCGAAAUAGGCUUGGAGAUUAAUUGAUAAUCCAGAUUCCCUUUGUGCCCGUGUUCUCAAAGCUAAAUAUUAUCCAGAUUGUGAUAUUUUGAGUGCAACUCUGAAAAAUAGAGCCUCAUUCACAUUGCAAAGUAUUAUGUUGGGGGUGCAUACACUAAAAAGAGGUCAUAUAUGUAGGGUUGUUGAUGGUAGUCGGAUCAAUGUCGUUUGGGAUGAUGAAUGGAUCCCUAACUCACCUACCAGGAAAGUGAUCACGACUCAUGGAGGCAAUUUACUAGCAAAAGCAAGCAAUUUCAUUAACCCCAUUACGGGUCGUUGGGAUGAAGAGUUGGUUUCUCAAACAUUCUGGCAAGUUGAUGAGGUACGGAUCCUUGCGAUUCAGUUGCCUGAAUUUGAUAUGUUGGACUUCGCAACAUGGAGCUUGUGCAAAAAACGGUAG